GGGGGGGGGCCGCGGGGCGCGCGCCAACUUCAAACGCGGGGCCGGGGCGGCGGCGGCGGCGUCACUCGGGUGCGCGCCUGCGUGGGUGCGUCACGUGCCGCCGAGGGCGGGACGGGCUGAGGGGAGCUCGCGCCGCCCCCGGCCCCUGAGGGGAGGCCGCGCACGGCCCCGGCCCUUGGGUCCCGUGGGGGUCCCUUAGGUCCCAUUAGGGUCCUGUUGGGGUCCCCCUGGGUCCCAUUAGGGUCCUCUUGGGGUCCUCUUGGGGUCCCAUUAGGGUCCUCUUGGGGUCCCAUUAGGGUCCUCUUGGGGUCCCAUUAGGGUCCUCUUAGGGUCCCUCUGUGUCCCCUCAGGUCCCCAUGACCCAGGGCUGGCGCCAGCCCCAGCCCCCCUGCACCUCCCCUCAGCCUCUCCCCAGCCCUCAGGCCCGCCUGAGCAGGGCAGCGCAGCCCCUCAGCUGCUGUGGGGACAGGAGUGACCCAGGAGGGCGAAGCUGGGGCAAAACCCUAAGCUGAUAUUCGUGCCCAUGCCAGGGAGGGGUCUGUAGGCUGCGAGAGGGGUCCUUUCCUUAAGCUGUGUGAGGAGUCAGUGAUGCUGGCUUGAGUUAGGGUGAUUUUGUAAAUCCCAAAGAGUUACAGGAGUUAGGGGGCAUUUUCCCAGUGGUUUUGAAGCUUUCCAGGCUGGCAGUCAAGCGGAGCGUGCUGUAGGAGUGGAAGGUGGCGCCUGCGGUGCUGGCUGUCCCACAGGGAGCUUCUGGGGAUGCUGCUGCAGGGACUCUGGCCCACCAACACCAACUUCUGCCUGCAGCUUUCUCCUGCUGCCCCCCAGAAGCUGGAAGCAGCCGUGGCACCCGUAGCACUGAGUGUGUUGUACGUGGGUGUGGUGCCUGUGGGCCCUGCGUUGGGAUGGGUCUUGAUUUUACAUCUUAGUUGAGUUUGGAGCGAGUGGCCUGCAGUGAAAGGUAGGUGAGGUUUCUCUGAACAAGUGCAGCUUGCAAAAGUGGAGAAGGUGGUGAGCAACGGCACAUCCUUAAAAACUGUAGGGGUUUCUGCAUCCUUCAUGCUGUGGCAUUUUCUGCAGUUUCCUGUGGUGAUGGAUCUGGGUUUAACAAGUUUUCUCAUCUCCAGUUGUGUUGGUUGAAAGGCAAGCUGAGAGGAAGAGAAAUUUCUGUGAGCUCAUGCUACAUCCCCUUUUUAUUUUCUUACCAUUAAAAUGUGAAAUGAAGUGAGUGUAAUGAGUUAAAGUACUAAUAGUUUAAGAUGCAAUGGAACGAAGCUGCAUUUCUUCCUCCUUUUGUUUACCUAUUGUUCUCUGGGAGAUGAUAAGGCAGGGAAUUCAGAGAGAAGACUAAACGUAAAGAAACCUAAAGACAAGCUCUGCUUCUACGACCAAAGAGUUCUCAUGCUGAUACAGUUGAAACGGUUAACUAAAGUCUUGCCCCAAAUUUUCGCCUUGUGAGGUGUCGUUGCAGCAGAGUAGAAGCUGUUCAACAGCCCAGCCUUAACCCCAACCUGCUUAGCAAGUGACAAAAAUAUCAGACAAAUGCAGCAUAUAUUAACACGUAUAAACAGUGCCCUUAAAUCCUAGCCCGAAUAUCGCUCGCGCCUUCUUGAGCUGUGUUGCAGGGGGUGAGAAGAGCCUGCCAGGCUGCUGCUGUGUGGAGAGAGCUUGGCCGAGGUGUUGGUGAGCGAGGAGGUGAGGACCUGCGUCUUGUUGUGCCCUGGCUUUGAGGGCUUCUCUCACCUCAGCUCCCCCAGUCCUUGUGCUGGUGGCAGGGCCUCAGGGAACACCGAUGCCCCUCUCAGGGCUGUUGGUAGCUGAGACCAAGAUCACUUUGGAGGAUUACGACACCACCCGAGUCCAUUAAUGCGUUGCAGCAGGGGAGCUGUGGCAUGGUGAGCAGAUGGAGAAGGCGAGCUGCAACUGGUUGGGUUGCUGGGUUGGGGCUCUGUUUCUUCAACCUCAGCUGGAGGUGGAAAAAAUCAGUGAUAAAGCGGUGGCAAAAAGUGACGGUUACAGGAAGUGAGAGGGUGCAGCCCCCAGCCGUGACCUCCACUGUCUUAAUCACUUGAGAAAUGUGGAGGAUCUGUUAAGAUCACUUCUGGGGAGAAGAGGUUCUGCAGUGUGAAUUUUUAAAAGCCGUUUUAUUGUAGGCUGUCAAGCCAUCAAUUCUUAUUUUGGGGAGAACGGCGUAUUUUUCAGCUAUAGCCAUAAAUCCUACUUUAAGCUCAAAAACAUAGCUCGGGUGUUACUCAGUGUGGAGAGAAGCACUAGCUGUAGGUCAGGUCACAUCUUACGUUCCUUUAAACACUCAUACCUUCUGUUGAUAGCCAUCCUAUGACAAAUGUUGCUUAUCUUUUGUAUUAGGAGUGCCACUGCUUAGGAAGCAGAAGUUCUCGCAGACACCACCUCCUCCUGGACUUUCCUUGUCAGAAGCGUCAGAAACCAUCCCCAGCGUGUGCUGGGGGGCCUGACCUAUUGGUCCCGGAUUCCUCACUUGGAGGCGCUUUUGAGCCGAUUUGCAAAGGACUCAAACCUGUGCAAUUCAAGCCCCCCACACCCCAGCUUCCACCUCCUGAAAACCAUCCUCCUGGCAUCUCUGAAUUAGACACCCAGAGGCAGGGGUUGCUGCCUGGAAAGCUGUCCGAGCGAGGCCUUUCCUAGGGACGGCUUGCCUGGGAGCAGAAAUGCAGGAGCCGGAGCUGAGGAGCGCCCAGGCGCUUUGAUGAGGCCCCGGCUGAGCUCAGCCCCUCAUUUCCUGCUCCUCACAACUCUGUGCUUCGGUCGCCCUCGGUCUGUGUGAGACUGCAGGAAUCACCCCUGUCCCUUAAACAGGGGAGCGGGCGCAUUUGGGAGCUAGCAUUAAAUUCGGCUUUGGAGUCUG